UUAUUUGAAACAGGAUACAACCUCCAACACUGGGUAAAUGAUAGUGAUCCAAGUAAAGUAGGCCUAAAAGCAGCCACCUUUCAAAAAGCGUCACAGCUUAACCUCCCUCACACCCUAAUCCAUAGAAAUACCCUCAACCCUUCACCAGUACUGAACUAUUUUAUAUUCUUAUAAAAAUAAUUAUGCUAGAACUAGUAACAAGAAAUUGCCCUUCUCCUAAUGCAAGUAUAAAUCUUAUUACACCCCUAAUGAUAAUUAACGUAAAUACACCAAAUAUAGUAACAUAUAUCUAGAAAACCCUAUAGUCUCAAACGUUAACCUUACACCAGAGCAUUGCAGGAAAGAUUAAAAGAGAAAGAAGGAACUCGGCAAACUUCAGCCCCGCCUGUUUACCAAAAACAUCGCCUCUUGAUUUUUAUAAGAGGUCCAGCCUGCCCAGUGACAAAGUUCAACGGCCGCGGUAACCUAACCGUGCAAAGGUAGCAUAAUCACUUGUUCUCUAAAUAGGGACUUGUAUCAAUGGCAUCACGAGGGCUUCACUGUCUCCUUUCUCUAAUCAGUGAAACUGAUCUUCCCGUGAAGAAGCGGGAAUUUUAUU
rnacentral:rRNA from 1 species